rnacentral:rRNA from 1 species
GCGGGGAAACUCACCAGGUCCAGACACAAUGAGGAUUGACAGAUUGAGAGCUCUUUCUUGAUUUUGUGGGUGGUGGUGCAUGGCCGUUCUUAGUUGGUGGAGUGAUUUGUCUGCUUAAUUGCGAUAACGAACGAAACCUUAACCUGCUAAAUAGCCCGUAUUGCUUUGGCAGUACGCUGGCUUCUUAGAGGGACUAUCGGCUCAAGCCGAUGGAAGUUUGAG